rnacentral:rRNA from 2 species
UUGGUGGGGUAAUGGCCUACCAAGGCGACGACGGGUAGCCGGCCUGAGAGGGCGACCGGCCACACUGGGACUGAGACACGGCCCAGACUCCUACGGGAGGCAGCAGUGGGGAAUAUUGCACAAUGGGCGAAAGCCUGAUGCAGCGACGCCGCGUGAGGGAUGACGGCCUUCGGGUUGUAAACCUCUUUCAGCAGGGAAGAAGCGAAAGUGACGGUACCUGCAGAAGAAGCGCCGGCUAACUACGUGCCAGCAGCCGCGGUAAUACGUAGGGCGCAAGCGUUGUCCGGAAUUAUUGGGCGUAAAGAGCUCGUAGGCGGCUUGUCACGUCGGGUGUGAAAGCCCGGGGCUUAACCCCGGGUCUGCAUCCGAUACGGGCAGGCUAGAGUGUGGUAGGGGAGAUCGGAAUUCCUGGUGUAGCGGUGAAAUGCGCAGAUAUCAGGAGGAACACCGGUGGCGAAGGCGGAUCUCUGGGCCAUUACUGACGCUGAGGAGCGAAAGCGUGGGGAGCGAACAGGAUUAGAUACCCUGGUAGUCCACGCCGUAAACGUUGGGAACUAGGUGUUGGCGACAUUCC